CAUUAGGUGUCUGAAAUGCAAGAGUUGGUCUCUUAAACCAUAUAAUAGUAAUAGGCGAAUACUUCUAAUGA
rnacentral:tRNA from 1 species